rnacentral:lncRNA from 9 species
AGACACGGCGAAUGUGCCAUCUCACGGUUUCUGUCAAUCGGAAGUCGGGUAGACGCAGCUGGCUCUAUGCUCAGGGUAUCAUAAAGCUGAACUUGAGAUGACAGUUGACCUGGGCCUUUCCGUGGACGCUCUGGGAAGACUCUGCUUCUGGGCUCGUUUGGGUUGUUGGUCAAAUCAGAUAGUUGUCCUGAAGGACUGGAAGCCUGGUUUUCUUGUUGACUGCCAGCCCGAGGCUGCUAAAGGCCGCCUGAUUCCUUUUCACGUAGCUCCUUCAUCUUCAAACCAGCAAGGCCAGCAAGGAGUCAAGACAUUUAUGAAUAUGGAAACCUGUAACUCAACAUCUUCAGUUUCCGGAGGAAGAAAAAUCUCCCCCAUAAAACCUGUGAGGGUUGCAAACGAACGGGGAAGGAGGUUUGAGGACUGCUUUUGCGAAAAAUCAACAUAAAUGGACAGUUUGAAUAAUUUUAAAUGUGGCAGAGCACUGCAUACCUCAGGAAAACCCCAUGAAGGAAGGGAAGGCUCCCGGGUGCAGGUGCCUGUGUGCGGUUCACACGGCGGCCGGAGGAUUCUUAGCGAUAGUCGAAGAUCACAGGACGAUGCAGCAGCGGUGACUGCCAGCCCUCUCGAGCCAGGUAGGGAUCCAUUUGAACAGCGUCCUGCAGCUGCCCUUAGUGAGGGUCUUUGCUCAAGAGCCGUCUUUAUUGCAAUUCUAAAUGGCAUCUCUUUUACACGUUCCUCAAAUGCCCGGGAUGUAGACAUUUUCUGGUUAUCACUUGGAGAAUCUUUUCUUAUUUGUAAGGACUAG